CCUACGGGUGGCAGCAGUCGAGAAUCAUUCACAAUGGGGGAAACCCUGAUGGUGCGACGCCGCGUGGGGGAAUGCAGGUCUUCGGAUUGUAAACCCCUGUCAUGUGGGAGCAAAUUAAAACGCUCGUACCACAAGAUGAAGAGACUGCUAACUCUGUGCCAGCCGCCGCGGUAAUACAGAGGUCUCAAGCGUUGUUCGGAAUCACUGGGCGUAACGGGUGCGUAGGCUGUUUCGUAAGUCGUGUGUGAAAGGCGCGGGCUCAACCCGCGGACGGCACAUGAUACUGCGAGACUAGAGUAAGGGAGGGGGAACCGGAAUUCUCGGUGUAGCAGUGAAAUGCGUAGAUAUCGAGAGGAACACUCGUGGCGAAGGCGGGUUCCUGGACAGUAACUGACGCUGAGGCACGAAGGCCAGGGGAGCGAAAGGGAUUAGAUACCCGGGUAGUC
rnacentral:rRNA from 1 species